CCACAGGGCUCGCUACGCUGCUCUCACUUCCCCUCGGUGUGGCUGCUGUUCCUCACUUCUCCCUGAGGACAGAAAGAUGAGAAUGAAAAAUGUUGAAGAGCUGCAUCGUUUCUGGGAUGCUGUUAGUUUUGAGUGCUGACUAAGGCGGAGGUACAAUAAAGACUGGACUUCAGCAAAGCGUUCGACAUUGUUUCCUGCAGCCUUGUCCUGGACAAACUGGCAAGCUACAAAUUGGAUGGAUGGUCUGUCAGACGGGUAGGAAAUUGGCUCGCAGGCUGCACUCAUAAGAUAAAUACUGGAUAUCUGAGGUCUAACUCAACUACUGCAAGCCAGGAACAAUCAAAAACAUAUAUUGUGGUGAUUUUCAAGUUUCCUUCCUAAUUUAUGAAGACUGUGUGGGAGAAGACAACAAUCUGUACUCAGGAGAAAUGCAGUGAAUCAGCCUGUUCUUUAUGGUGAAGUGUUCUUUUACGCAGCUGCUGUACCUUGGAGAAAAAACAAAUAAACUCCAGAUUCUACUUUAAUCAAUCUCAUUAAAAAAAAAAAAAGUAA